GACGAACGCUGGCGGCGUGCCUAAUACAUGCAAGUAGAACGCUGAAGAGAGGAGCUUGCUCUUCUUGGAUGAGUUGCGAACGGGUGAGUAACGCGUAGGUAACCUGCCUGGUAGCGGGGGAUAACUAUUGGAAACGAUAGCUAAUACCGCAUGAAAUUGCUUAUCGCAUGAUAAUUGAUUGAAAGAUGCAAUUGCAUCACUACCAGAUGGACCUGCGUUGUAUUAGCUAGUUGGUGAGGUAACGGCUCACCAAGGCGACGAUACAUAGCCGACCUGAGAGGGUGAUCGGCCACACUGGGACUGAGACACGGCCCAGACUCCUACGGGGAGCAGCAGGAGGGAAUCUUCGGCAAUGGGGGGAACCCUGACCGAGCAACGCCGCGGGAGUGAAGAAGGGUUUCGGAUCGUAAAGCUCGGUUGUAAGAGAAGAACGGGUGUGAGAGUGGAAAGUUCACACUGUGACGGUAUCUUACCAGAAAGGAACGGCUAACUACGUG
rnacentral:rRNA from 1 species